CUUGAGCCUCCUGAUCCAUCGCUUAUAUGACGGUGACCACUACGGCCUAAGCGUGAGCUUGUCGUCACUGAAUUGCUACGGCGGCCUGAGAACAUUCCUCUUCGCACAUGAGAGAUUCGUGUCUCAAAAAUUUUUGAACCGAUGGAAGAGAGUAUUUAUCGUUGGCGGAAAGGGAAUACGAAGAGUUAAAAGUGACUUAUUCACGUAUCCCGUGUGUCCUGUGAUUCCACCUGGUGGCUAGGUCCUUCUCUUGACCACUUGGAAUGCGAGGACACCCUCUCGUGUAACGGGGUAACCAACUCGCGUCCAUCAGGUGCUCAGGUGUGUCUACGGAGAGUAUUUCUUAUUUCUUGUAAUGUACAGCGCGCGCUGGUACCAUAAUGAAGGGACAUAACUGCACAGAAGCAGGAUGAAAGCUGGGGUGUGUAGUUGAUACUAUCUCGUGACUCGCUCCAUUAGCCGCACUGCGGUAUCGAUGCGGACGUUCCCCGCGAUUACCACUGUGUACCGAUGUAACAGUGCGGACCGCGCAGGUUUUUGGGGGCGGCUCGUCGGGGGUUUCUUCUGCUUUGUCAGAUAGGGGAGCGUCUUAUUCUAGCGGUCUCAGUUCAUUCUGUCGUCCGACGGCGCGCUAGCACCACGCCGGCCCUCCGACUCGAUUGUAUCCUCCGACUGCCUCUGUUAACACCAUUGGACUAUGGCGACUCUCCCGUUUCGGGUGGAACCUUGAUGCGUAUCCUAUCACUCCCGCAGCCGGUCCAAGGUAAGGAUAGUGUUGAUUCUAAAAUAGGAAACAUUAAUGGUGAUAGGAUGAGAUAGGGGUGUGGCGAAGACCUGCUCUUAGAUCUAGCGUUGUGGCAUCCACCCGGAUAGUCGUGGCUCUGAUGUUAUCGCCGGCAAACAAAAGGUAAUCGGGGUCUUGCGGCACACGCGGGCCUGGGUUCCGGCGCGCUGGAACUUAGCGCGACUACAGGUGCGUCUGAGGCUCUUUUGAUGCGCAAGCCUCGUGCGAAACCCUGUAAAAGAUUUCGCCCGACAGUGGAUCCUGCGUCCAAGAAUACUUUCCGGGGUGACAAUCAGCGUAACACAUACCGCCUUCGCGGCGCCCGCCGACGUCGCCCCCGGUGUCCGCCCUCACUCCCGCUGUGCUCUCGCCCCUUCCCCCGGCCUCGCGCCGGCCGAACCCUUCCCACAACUGCCGCCUCGCGCUCGCGCAUUCCUGUUCCCUAUCAGCUCGCGGCCUGCGGCCGGCCUGCUUCCGCUGUCGGGUUUCGCAGAAGGCGGCCGGGGACGCUAUCACUCGCGUCGUUCUGGGCCCUCAACACAAUCCCGGCCGCAGGCGUCCUCCGGUCGCUCCCGGUCCCACUCCGCCGUCCGGCCCGCCUAAAGCCGGCGCGGCGGGGCAGCGCGCUUGGGAAUCACCGCAGGGUUCGCGCAGCGCCCGGUCUCGCAGGCGGGACACGCUCAUGCGAGGUGGGGCCAACGGCCCGGUGUGCGGCGGCUCGCAUUUCGUGGUGGCGGCUCUAGCCCUCUCGCCACUCGUGCCGAGAGCUCGGACCGGCGUGUCUCCGGCCCUUCCGUGGAACGCGCUAGGCUGCGUGGGGCGCGGGGGCUCCGGCUCUCUCUAUCGCCGGCUUUCGGCCGGUUAGGUAGCAGCAGCAGUCGUCCCUCGCUCCAAACCCACUUCGGCUGGCGCCCAGCGAUCAACUCAGAACUGGCACGGACCAGGGAAUCCGACUGUCUAAUUAAAACAAAGCAUUGCGAUGGUCAGAGAUAGAUGUUGACGCAAUGUGAUUUCUGCCCAGUGCUCUGAAUGUCAAAGUGAAGAGAUUCAAAACCAAAAGCGGGUUAACGGCGGAGUAACUAUGACUCUCUUAAAGGUAGCCAAAUGCCUCGUCAUCUAAUUAGUGACCGCGCAUGAAUGGAUUAACGAGAUUCCCACUGUCCUAUCUCUACUAUCUAGCGAACCACAGGCAGGGGAAACGGGCCUGCGCCUAACAGCGGGGAAAGAAGACCCUGUUGAGCUUGACUCUAGUCUGAUUUUGUAGAGAGACAUCAGAGGUGUAGCAUAAGUGGGAGGUCGUCACAUCAGGGGCUUGCUCCGUGCGGCCGACAAUGAAAUACCACUACUCUGAUCGUUUCUUUACUUACUCGGUGAGACGGAAUCGGAGCUUCCCCACGUGGGAUUGCCUCCUGUUUCUAGCCUAAAGCGGCGGAAGGGAGGGCGCGCUUGGUUUCGGCCUUGCGUUAGCCUGACCGGGCGUUCGCGCCCGCCGCGAUCCGCUCCGAGGACAUUAUCAGGUGGGGAGUUUGACUGGGGCGGUACAUCUGUCAAACGAUAACGCAGGUGUCCUAAGGCCAGCUCAGCGUGGACAGAAACCUCGCGUAGAGCAAAAGGGCAAAUGCUGGCUUGAUCCUGAUUUUCAGUACGAAUACGGACUGCGAAAGCAGGGGCCUAUCGAUCCUUUUGACUUUAUGAGUUUUAAGCAAGAGGUGUCAGAAAAGUUACCACAGGGAUAACUGGCUUGUGGCGGCCAAGCGUUCAUAGCGACGUCGCUUUUUGAUCCUUCGAUGUCGGCUCUUCCUAUCAUUGUGAAGCAGAAUUCACCAAGCGUUGGAUUGUUCACCCAUAAAAAGGGAACGUGAGCUGGGUUUAGACCGUCGCGAGACAGGUUAGUUUUACCCUACUGUUGGCAGUUGUGUCGUUGAUACAGCAGUCCUGCUCAGUACGAGAGGAACGGCAGGUCCGGACAUAUGGUUCCGCUCUUGGUCGAUCGGCCAGUGGAGCGAGGCUACGUCCGUGGGAUUAUGCCUGAAGCCUCUAAGGCAGAAUCCCGGCUGGAUGACCAACGAUACCGCGUACGGCCUGCAUCGGGAUGGUCACCAUUGAAUUUUCGAGAGAUUCGCUCCCCGCUCGUUCGCGGGCGGGGCUAGAAGAUGGACCCGUGCAGAGGGAACUCGGGAGUGCCUCGACAAACAGGUUCAGGCUCUCCCCUCCCUAGUAGAGAAACACCCAGAUGC
rnacentral:rRNA from 1 species